rnacentral:rRNA from 1 species
AACGAACGCUGGCGGCGCGCCUAAUACAUGCAAGUCGAGCGAGAAGACGUAGCAAUACGUUUGUAAAGCGGCGAACGGGUGAGGAAUACAUGGGUAACCUACCCUCGAGUGGGGAAUAACUAGCCGAAAGGUUAGCUAAUACCGCAUACGGCUCUUGGUCUGCGGAUCGAGAGAGAAAGCGAUACCGUGGGUAUCGCGCUCCUGGAUGGGCUCAUGUCCUAUCAGCUUGUUGGUGAGGUAACGGCUCACCAAGGCUUCGACGGGUAGCUGGUCUGAGAGGACGAUCAGCCACACUGGCACUGCGACACGGGCCAGACUCCUACGGGAGGCAGCAGUAAGGAAUAUUGCGCAAUGGGCGACAGCCUGACGCAGCGACGCCGCGUGGGGGAUGAAGGUCUUCGGAUUGUAAACCCCUUUCGGCAGGGAAGAUGGAACGGGUAACCGUUCGGACG